UUAUAAUAAUUUCCCUCAUAUUCAGACAGAUUAACGGUCUAUGCAAAAAGAAUAGUAUGAAAAACCCCCCACCACCGUAAAGGUGGUGGAAGCAACAUAGAAUAGAAUAACAGUGUGGUAAUAGCAUACAGGGAGCCGAAGCUCUCUAUAAUGAUCCUUCCGCAGGUUCACCUACGGAAA
rnacentral:misc_RNA from 1 species